AUACGUAGGGGGCGAGCGUUGUCCGGAAUGACUGGGCGUAAAGGGCGUGUAGGCGGCUGUCUAAGUCUGGAGUGAAAGUCCUGCUUUCAAGGUGGGAAUUGCUUUGGAGACUGGAUGGCUUGAGUGCGGAAGAGGUAAGUGGAAUUCCCAGUGUAGCGGUGAAAUGCGUAGAGAUUGGGAGGAACACCAGUGGCGAAGGCGACUUACUGGGCCGUAACUGACGCUGAGGCGCGAAAGCGUGGGGAGCGAACAGGAUUAGAUACCCUGGUAGUCCACGCGGUAAACGAUGAAUGCCAGGUGUUGCGGGUAUCGACCCCUGCAGUGCCGGAGUAAACACAAUAAGCAUUCCGCCUGGGGAGUACGGCCGCAAGGUUGAAACUCAAAGGAAUUGACGGGG
rnacentral:rRNA from 1 species